rnacentral:rRNA from 1 species
GUGCCAGCCGCCGCGGUAACACGGGGGGAGCAAGCGUUGUUCGGAAUUACUGGGCGUAAAGGGCGUGUAGGCGGUCAGGUAAGUGGGAUGUGAAAUCCUCCGGCUCACCCGGAGACCUGCAUCCCAAACUGCCUGGCUUGAGUAUGGGAGAGGAUGAGGGAAUUCCUGGUGUAGCGGUGAAAUGCGUAGAUAUCAGGAGGAACACCGGUGGCGAAAGCGCUCAUCUGGCCCAAUACUGACGCUGAGGCGCGAAAGCUAGGGGAGCAAACGGGAUUAGAAACCCUGGUAGUCC